rnacentral:rRNA from 1 species
UACAGAGGUCCCAAGCGUUAAUCGGAAUUACUGGGCGUAAAGCGUGCGUAGACGGUCAAGUAAGUCGGGUGUGAAAGCCCCGGGCUCAACCUGGGAAUUGCAUUCGAGACUGCGUGGCUAGGGUGCGGAAGAGGGAAGCGGAAUUUCCGGUGUAGCGGUGAAAUGCGUAGAUAUCGGGAGGAACACCUGUGGCGAAAGCGGCUCACUGGACCAUAACUGACGCUGAUGCACGAAAACUGGGGAGCAAACGAGGA